rnacentral:misc_RNA from 1 species
UACAGAAAUGGAGAUCCUGAAUAUAUGACAAAGUCAUUUACAUGAAUUAUUUUACCCAAAGCAGAGCGUCCCCGUGAAUCUUUAAUUUCCUGUCAUUUCAUUACAACUCAUUGAAUCAAUUACAAUGACGAAGUGUAAAAGGGAUCACAUGACUUAUUUUUUGACCUAUUUGUAACAGUUUGUUUGUAAAUAUUCCAUUGUGUAUUAACUUAUUUGUAUUUAUUUUGUAAAUUAAUUGUGCCCAGAGCAAACCUCUACAAAAGGGAUGAACAAAUGGUAAAAAGUUCUAACACAAUUUUUCCUAGGUUACCUCCCCUUUGUGAGGCGUUUGCUAGCGGUUUUUUCUGUGAUAUGUCACUUAUAAUUAAUGUUAUUUUCUCCCUAGUCAAAUCCAAAAUAGCAAUGCCCUAGUACAAUGUUGCCUUGGGUAAUUUUAGUAAAGAUUUUUUUGCUUUAAAUUAAUAAUUUUUAUUGAUUUUUCAAUCAUCUAAAAUUUCCACGUUUAAUUUUUCAUGUAUAGAUUAUCAUGGCCAAUGAAUUUGGUAACUAACCCAGGAUCUCAAAAUAAUCAGUAUUAAUUACAUUUUAUAUAAUAAACAUUUAAAAUGUUUCCAUAUUAAAUGUGAAUCAUCUUUUUGAAAAAUGAAAACAUUUUCUUGAUUCAUAAAAACUGCAAACAUGUAAACAUGUUUAUGCAUCAAUUCCCUCCAACACGGACAGAGAAAUCCACGCUAGAUUCACGUCACGCUAUCCGACCCGCAUGAUUAUGUAUGUCAGGUUACCCUUUGUGGCGACGUACCCAUGCUACCUUACGUGAUAACGUGUCACCAUUAUGUUGUGUCGUUCUGUAGACGUUAGCUUGCAUUAGACACGGAUCAGAAAUCCAGUCUCAUUCCACUAGCUGUAGAUGUGUUGUAUGUAUUCGGUACAACUGUACUGGGGUAAUGCAAUUCAACUGUUAUAUAGAUCAUUGCUAUUUAUUGAUGCAUAUUUUGUUGGUAAGAAAUCAAAUUGCUGGCAAUUUCACCAGAAAAUAGUCAGAAAUUAUAUUGUUUGAAUAAAAAUCAAUAAAUAAAAUCAAUAUGAAACC